AUUGAACGCUGGCGGCAGGCCUAACACAUGCAAGUCGAGCGGAUGAAGGGAGCUUGCUCCUGGAUUCAGCGGCGGACGGGUGAGUAAUGCCUAGGAAUCUGCCUGGUAGUGGGGGAUAACGUCCGGAAACGGGCGCUAAUACCGCAUACGUCCUGAGGGAGAAAGUGGGGGAUCUUCGGACCUCACGCUAUCAGAUGAGCCUAGGUCGGAUUAGCUAGUUGGUGGGGUAAAGGCCUACCAAGGCGACGAUCCGUAACUGGUCUGAGAGGAUGAUCAGUCACACUGGAACUGAGACACGCUCCAGACUCCUACGGGAGGCAGCAGUGGGGAAUAUUGGACAAUGGGCGAAAGCCUGAUCCAGCCAUGCCGCGUGUGUGAAGAAGGUCUUCGGAUUGUAAAGCACUUUAAGUUGGGAGGAAGGGCAGUAAGUUAAUACCUUGCUGUUUUGACGUUACCAACAGAAUAAGCACCGGCUAACUUCGU
rnacentral:rRNA from 1 species